UGCACUUGCAUAUGUUUUUGUUUAACUUGAAGACAAAGACUGACACACAGGUGCAAAAAAUAAAUUAUCUUUUGCAACCCAGAACUCAUUGAUCAGUAUGAGCAGGACUAGGAUACCUAACACAGUACAAA